rnacentral:lncRNA from 1 species
GACAUUCGGAGCUGCUCUUCAGGGUUCUGGGCACGUCGCAUAUUGCGCCCCAGCCUUCUCAGCAGCCAGGAGCUGGGAGGUGGAGGGGCCUGUGGUCUGGCCGCCACCUAGCAGGCCUGCAUGGCCACCUCCAGCCGGGUGCAGGCUGGCUGGGGUGGGGCUGCCCUUGACCUUGGGCUCUCCCUCCUCCGCCAGAUCCUCAGGCGCUGGCUCAGCCUCCCACGGCCUGGGGGAGCCUCUGUCUGCUCCUUCCAGCCGUUCAAGGACGAGGCUUCCGAAAGACUCACUGUUCCUGUGUGGGGAACUGAGGCUGUGUGAAGGCUGGAUGAACCGCUGCUGUGGCCUGAGUCCUCCGGAGGCUGAGAGCAAACGGCUGCACUAGGAACCCAGCAGUCAGACCGGCCCCCACCCUGGAGUGAACACAUCGCCACUGCCAGGCAUCGCAGGGAGGAUUACCCCAAUGGCACCUGGCUGGGCGACGAGAACAACCCCGAGAUGCGGGUGCACUGCGCCAUCAUCCCCUCCGACAUGCUGCACAUCAGCACCAACUGCCGCACGGCCGAGGAGAUGGUGCUCACGCUGCUGGACUACCUCUUCCACCGCGAGGUGCAGGCUGUGUCCAGCCUCUCGGGGCAGGGCAAGCACGGGAAGAAGCAGCUGGACCCGCUCACCAUCUAUGGCAUCCGGUAGCCGAUGAUGAGCACCCCACCUCCUGCCAGAGAGCUCCUGCAGCCACAGCUGCAGCCGCAGGCCCUGCACUACGCGCUGGCCAACGUGCAGCAGGUGCAGAUCCACCAGAUCGGAGAAGACGGACAGGUGCAAGUAGGACACCUCCACAUCGCCAAGGUGCCACAGGGGGAGCAAGUCCAGAUCACGCAGGACAGCGAGAGCCCGUGUUCUGGUACUACGUGAAGGAGGUCCUCAACAAGCACGAGCUGCAAGCGCUUCUACUCCCUGCGCCACAUCGCCUCAGACGUGGGCCGGGGCCGCACCUGGCUGCGCUGUGCCCUCAACGAACACUCCCUGGAGCGCUACCUGCACAUGCUCCUGGCCGACCGCUGCAGGCUCAGUACUUUUUAUGAAGACUGGUCUUUUGUGAUGGAUGAAGAGAGGUCCAGUAUGCUUCCUACCAUGGCAGCAGGUCCGAACUCCAUACUCUUUGCGAUUAACAUUGACAACAAGGAUUUGAACGGGCAGAGUAAGUUUGCUCCCACCGUUUCAGACCUCUUAAAGGAGUCAACGCAGAAUGUGACCUUGCUGAAGGAGUCCACGCAAGGAGUGAGCAGCGUGUUCAGGGAGAUCACAGCCUCCUCUGCCAUCUCCAUCCUCAUCAAACCUGAACAGGAGACCGACCCCUUGCCCGUCGUGUCCAGGAAUGUCAGUGCUGAUGCCAAAUGCAAAAAGGAGCGGAAGAAGAAAAAGCAAGUGACCAACAUUAUCUCAUUUGAUGAUGAGGAAGAUGAGCAGAACUCUGGGGACAUGUUUAAAAAGACACCUGGGGCAGGGGAGAGCUCAGAGGACAACUCCGACCACUCCUCUGUCAAUAUCAUGUCCGCCUUUGAAAGCCCCUUCGGGCCAAACUCCAAUGGAAGUCAGAGCAGCAACUCGUGGAAAAUUGAUUCCCUGUCUUUGAACAGGGAGUUUGGGUACCAGAAGCUUGAUGUGAAAAGCAUCGAUGAUGAAGAUGUGGAUGAAAACGAAGAUGACGUGUAUGGAAACUCAUCAGGACGGAAGCACAGGGGCCACUCAGAGUCGCCCGAGAAGUGCUGCCAUGGCCACGACUGUUGUUACACUCGAGCUGAGGAGGCCGGCUGCAGCCCCAAGACAGAGCGCUACUCCUGGCAGUGCGUCAAUCAGAGCGUCCUGUGCGAUGAGUCCCCAGCAGCACCAUGCCACCCACCCCGAGUAUCCCCUGGGCACCCUGGCAUAGCCAGAUGACUUCCGUGCCCCUGUUGCAAUAACCACUGCUUCCAAGUCUCUGUAGACCACCCCUUGGGUAUAUCUCAUGUAAGUGAUAUUUAUUUUAUUUAUAUUUUUUGAGUCAGAGUCUCACUCUGUCACCCAGGCUAGAGUGUGCUGACGUGAUCUUGGCUCACUACAACCUCUGUCUCCUGGGUUCAAGCGAUUCUCAUGCCUCAGCCUCCCAAGUGGCUAGGACUACAGACAUGCACCAUCACGCCCAGCUAAUUUUUGUAUGUUUUUCAGUAGAGGUGGGGUUUCACCAAGUUGGCCGGGCUGGUCUCAAACUCCCCACCUCAAGUGGUCUGCCCGCCUCGGCCUCCCAAAGUGCUGGGAUUACAGGCAUGAGCCAUGGUGUCUGGCCCUAAUGUGAGUGAUCUUUAACACUGAGCACUUGAAAAAGAAAACCCUGAAGAAACCUAAUUAUUCGAUGUCUGGACGACAAGGAAGAAGAUAGAAAUGGCAUCAGAUAAUAAACAGUGUAAAUGUUUGUUUAUCAGAAAGGGGCUGGUGGUCGGGACAAGUAGGAGGAUCGCUUGAGUCCAGGAGUGCAUCUCUACAAAAAAGUUAAAGGAUUUUUUAACAUUGGCCAGGCGUGGUGGCACACAUCUGUGAUCCCAGCUACUUGGGAGGCUGAGGCAGGAG